ACGGGGGAUGUCCUGCUUAUUGCCAGCGAGUAGGAAGUUUCUGCCGUUAGGGAUUAUGUGCCGUUUCCUCGCCUAGAAGCUUUCGGCUUGUCCCCUCCCACUCUUGAAAAAGCAGCGACUCCACAAACUAGAAAACGGUGCGAACUAAAUACCUGCCUCUCUGACCACCAGCCUCAGCCUUUCAGCCCUGCUCGUCUGCGCUUGUGCGAUUGCUGGGAGGAGGCAGCCGCGUUCCGUCCGCUUUUGUGUGGUUGUACAGAAGUGCUGCGGUUGAGAGGAGGAGGUGGAGGGGAACAGCUGCUCCCCACACAGAAGCCGGUUUCCCAGCCUGACAGGCAGCGAGAGGCAGCCAGUGCCUGGGCUGUUUUCCCGGAAGCCCUCGGGUUGGUUCGCAAGCCUCCGCAGCUCCGGCUAGGAAGGGAAUUUUUAUGGCGGUGACGAAACACAAAAUGGACCAGAGCAAGUAGGAUUCUUUCCUUCACAAGGCCAGGCGCUCGUGUUCUCUAAAUCAGGAGCAGAUAUGGAUACAUCUCCACUGAAACUCGACCAGGUUUCUCUCAGCCGAUGGGACUCCAGUGGACCCCGCGGCUGCUCUGAGCGUCUUCCUCCAGUCAGAGCUUUUAACCCAUCG